GACGAACGCUGGCGGCGUGCUUAACACAUGCAAGUCGAACGGAAAGGCCCUGCUUUUGUGGGGUGCUCGAGUGGCGAACGGGUGAGUAACACGUGAGUAACCUGCCCUUGACUUUGGGAUAACUUCAGGAAACUGGGGCUAAUACCGGAUAGGAGCUCCUGCUGCAUGGGGGGGGUUGGAAAGUUUCGGCGGUUGGGGCUGGACUCGCGGCUUAUCAGCUUGUUGGUGGGGUAGUGGCUUACCAAGGCUUUGACGGGUAGCCGGCCUGAGAGGGUGACCGGCCACAUUGGGACUGAGAUACGGCCCAGACUCCUACGGGAGGCAGCAGUGGGGAAUAUUGCACAAUGGGCGGACGCCUGAUGCAGCAACGCCGCGUGCGGGAUGACGGCCUUCGGGUUGUAAACCGCUUUCGCCUGUGACGAAGCGUGAGUGACGGUAAUGGGUAAAGAAGCACCGGCUAACUACGUG
rnacentral:rRNA from 1 species